UACGUAGGGUGCGAGCGUUAAUCGGAAUUACUGGGCGUAAAGCGUGCGCAGGUGGUCUCGCAAGUCGAGUGUGAAAGCCCCGGGCUUAACCUGGGAAUUGCGCUCGAAACUACGAGACUGGAGUGUGGCAGAGGGAGGUGGAAUUCCACGUGUAGCGGUGAAAUGCGUAGAGAUGUGGAGGAACACCGAUGGCGAAGGCAGCCUCCUGGGCCAACACUGACACUCAGGCACGAAAGCGUGGGGAGCAAACAGG
rnacentral:rRNA from 1 species